rnacentral:lncRNA from 1 species
UCCUACCGGAGAAGACCACCAGAACAUGUGGCUUUGAGCCUAGAAAUCUCAUCUACAUACAUAGGUAACUUCCACUUCUCCUCUUCUUCUGAUUGUGUUUCAAGUUAAUUAAUUUAUUUAUUAACAUAGCAUCUAUGCUUUUUGAUUACAACAGUGAACAGACAGAUUGAUCAGAUUACUGCAGUGGCGGCCGCCGGGUGAGUGUUUUCCAUGCUCUAUGCUUGUCAAGGGAGCAGUCCUUUUGCAGAUUAACCUUUCUUUCAUUGUCUGUUCGACCUUGAAUUAAUACGAGGUUCUAUUAAUAGUAAUCCUGGGAACCCUAGCUAGCUAGUUAUAUAUUAAGCAGCCUUAGUACUUCCAGUUUCCAUGAUCAGACUUAAUUAAGUAGUCUUAUUUCUUUGUAUAUCUAGGCUUCUUUUAAAAAAAAUGAAGGGGCUUAGGGCAAGGUGAUCUUUGAGAUAUAUUUUAAGGUCGAAUGGGCAAUGAAUUCUAGGUAUUAGCUAAGGGACUGCUCGUUUGACGAGGGUUUUUUGCAUGGAAUUCGACAUCCCUCUCUGUAUAGCUCCUCUUUCACUCUUUUCUUGCCGCCCUACAUAAAAAGAAAACAAGGUAAGAAACAUUUCUAUUUUUUAGCAAGGGAAAAGAUUUACAUUCUUUUUCUUAUUUCAUUCACUGCAAGAAAAGAAGUCAAGCUCAAGCAGUAACUCAUGGCAUUCUCAGAUUCGAAGUUUUUAAGAAACCCAGUCCACUACAUAGAUGGAGAAGGACGUCUAAUUGCCGUCAAGCGGCUAAAUGAUUCAGGUUCUUUUGAUUCACUUUGAAACACAUUAACUAACUGAUGUCCCCAACAGUCAUUUGUCUUGUUGACCAAUGAAAUAUUGACGCUUUGAUCAGUAAAAAUACUGAAGAAUUUUAAGUAUAUAGAAAACGACCAAUGAGGCUUAGUUAAAGAGUCCAUACCUGAAAAAUGGAGAUGAGUCAUAUCACUAUGUAAUAGUAGUAUUUGCUAGAAAUCUAUUUUAAGCAUCCAUUUUGAGUUGUUGAGAAGUAUCCAAUAGCUUUACUCAAAAUCUCUCAAUCCACUGAAUGGAUAUAUAAAAUAUAUAAUGUUAGAAGGAACAUCAACGUUCAUUCUGCAUCUUUUAAGCGACAAAUAAUCAAAUAGAUUAUCUGCAUAAAUGAACAUCUUUUAUCAGCAACAGUUAAAGCAAACAUCAUACACCUACUUUUAUAAAAUCACUCAAACAUUCAAGAGUAGAGAAAAGAAUAAAAACCCAAACAAUGAGAAGAAUUCACAUAAAAUCAAACAAUAAGAUAAAUAAGAAACUCAAUAAACUAUCAAGUGAAGCAAUGAUUGAGAGUCUAGCUAAUAUAUCCAUUAGAACAAACAAAAUAUAUAGAAAAAGCAAAAACAUGGAUUUGCGAAUGAGCUUUUCCCUUUGCCAUUCAAAGGCAAUGAUGAGUCUGGCUGAUAAGAGCAUGCAAUGUGAAGAGAAUGGUGAUGUGAGCAUGGCAAUACGUAUCAGCACUCUCGUAUAACAUAUGUACGUUCAGCACUCGUAUAAAACCCUAACUGGUUCUUAUCUCUGUUUGUAUAAUUUUUUUUUUUUUUUUUGGGAAAACAUACUUGUAGAAGUUUUCCAACAUUUUCCCGGUGAUGGGAAAAUGCCUCCUUUUUCAGGGAGAAAUUUGAGAAGGAAAGCAUAGUUAUCAUUUAUAAACUUUCUUUAUUAUACCAUGCUUUUUGAUAUUUUAUACGUGUAUAUCUGAGCAGGAGAAGGCUUUACACCUAUAGAGUUGAACGGGUAAUGGAAUUCGACGCGGCUUACAGAUACUCUUUCGCUUGCUUUGCCCAAGUGGGCUCGCUGCUUUGCGAUGUAAUGAUAGGCACUAUACAAGUGGGUAUGCUAAAAUUUGGGCUUUCUUACUUCAGCUCACAACCAUUGGUCCUGGAAUUUCGCCAUAUAGCUGUACAGAAUGGAUUUUGUAUAUCUGAAUCGAAUUGGAAAUUGAAUUCAACAACCAGUUAGAUGAUUAGAUAAGUACAUAGAAAAGAGGCCCAAUAUUCGUCAAUCAUUGAGAUAGAGAAAGAAAAUGGGAAUAAUGAACAAGAGAGAGUAUUGUUUUAAAGGGUAGGAAUUCUCGAAAAGAUUUUGGAAGCUGAGUGGAAAACCAGAAGAAAAAGGUUGGAAGAUGCUUCAGGAAAAUGGGUCGGUGGCUGCCUUUGCUUCCUAUUUUCUUCUCAUUCACUCAUCCGCAUCCUUGCUCCCCAGAUGUUCUGCUUUUUUUUGUUUUAAAUCUAAACGAGAUUUUGUCUCCUAAUUAUUAAUUUAUUUUCCUUACAAUAAUCAUGUGAAUUAUCUUACAAUUUACUUUUUCUUUAAUAAAAUGGUGAUGGGAUUUUCAUUACAUGUGG